CUGGGGCCGUUGGUUGUCCUGACCCCUCAGAGCCUGAACCCAUCAGGCUUGGGCGGGGGGGAGGGGCUCAGAGAGUGGCUGGGCCCGGCCCCCCUUCCUCCCACCUUGACACCCACCCCACUCACCAAUGCCCACCACGCAGAUGUCAGCCCGCACAACCUUGCUGCUCUUCAACACAACCUCCUUCAGCUGCGGGGAGCAGGCAGCUCCAACACCUCCGUCUGCAUGUAGAACUUUACCCGGUUGUCCUCAAACAUCUGUCAGAGCAGGAACCUCCUGAAGGGCGUCUCCUCCAACUCUACCACGGACACUGAGUGGGCCUUCUCGGUCAGCUGCUCACCCAGGAAGCCAGCUCCCACGACCACGGCAUUGCGGCCCCGGGCCAGCCUCACCACGCGGUUGGCAUCCUCAGGUGUCCGGAUGGUGAACACGUUCUCCACCUCUUUGCCUUUGCAGCUGAGGGUCUUGGGGCUAAGACACACAGAGCAGUGCGGUGAGGGCCAGCCAGGACGGGAGGGCGGGACAGAGAUGCCCUUGCCCCGCCCCCGUGGCCUUUGCACCUGCUGCCUGGCGCCAGCAACAGUUUGCUGUACUCCAACUUGAAGCCAUCCUUGAAUACCGCCUUCUUGUUUCUCACAUCCACGGUGACCACCUGCAAACCCCACCGGGCACAGCACGGACCUGAGCUUGUACCGCAGCUCUGCACCCACUCCCAGGUCCUCCGAGAUGCCCAGAGCCCAGACGGGGGCUGCCCCAUUCCUUUAGCCCAUCUCGUAAUCGCAGUCCCACCAGCCCUGCACAGCUCACCUUUGGCCCUGCCAGGAAGUGGGUUCCAGAGCCAUGUCCGAGGCCUGGCCAGGGCAGCCGGGAGGACAGGCCCCACCCCACCCCACCCCCACACACUCCCAGGGGCCCACGUGGCCUCGUGCCUCUCCUGGCUGCUUCUAGCCCCUUCCCCAGCCUGUUGCCUUCUUAGCCUGUACCUGGGCCUCUGUGAGCACCUCGAUGCCGUAGGCCCGGAAGAAUUCCUUGGGCCUCAGGGCCAGCUGCUCAGGCUGCGCAUCCAGGGACUGCAGGAGAUGGCCGGCUCAAGAUGGCGCCAGCUGGCCACUGUUCCUCUUGUUACA